rnacentral:misc_RNA from 1 species
AAGUCGUAACAAGGUUUCCGUAGGUGAACCUGCGGAAGGAUCAUUAUCGUAGGGCUUCGGCCCUGUCGAGAUAGAACCCUUUGCCUUUUUUGAGUACCUUUCGUUUCCUCGGCAGGCUCGCCUGCCAAUGGGGACCAACAAAAACAUCUUGCAGUACCUGUUAACAGUCUGAACAAACAAAACAAAAAUUAAAA